UCAGUUCGGAUUGUAGGCUGAAACUCGCCUACAUGAAGCUGGAGUUACUAGUAAUCGCAGAUCAGAAUGCUGCGGUGAAUGCGUUCCCGGGUCUUGUACACACCGCCCGUCACACCACGGAAGUUGGGGGCGCCCGAAGCCACUUAGCUAACCCUUUUGGGAAGCGAGUGUCGAAGGUGAAAUCAAUAACUGGGGUGAAGUCGUAACAAGGUAUC
rnacentral:rRNA from 1 species